AGAGCAGACCUUCCCAGCAAGGAGCAGAAUCAGAUAGCGUCUGACCUGUCACUUCCUCCUCCUCUUCUCAGAAGCUGGAAGACUGCAGUUCCUGGCUCCCACAUCCUCAUCUCUACUCAGAUAUGUGCAUCAACUAUUGAUAAUUAUAAGAAGUCCAGGGUUCUUCAGUGGCAUCUGAUCCCUGCCUUGAUAUCUUCAGGGAGCUCAGAACUCAGAUCUUAAAAUGGCAAAGGAUGUAGCAUUUCCUGGAAUGGCUCAUGACAGAUAUUCUUCCUCUGAGUACUAGUUUAGACUUACAGUGGGAGGAAAUCCCAGCAGAUAACAGGAAAAAAUAGUUUUGAUUUUAAGAAGAAAAGAGCUUAAAAGGAAACAGGAAGCUGAUGUUGGCAGUCUGACCUGUGCUGCAUGAGGAAUCUGAUUUCAAAAGCCUUCCCAAAUGCAGGCUUAAGGGAUGCAAACUGCCAUGACGUUUGCAGCAAUUGAGGAAUUCUGUCAUUGGCUCACACUGCUCUCUCUUUUAUAGGAAAGUGAAAGCAUAAGACUUAGUAUGUCACUGUUAUGUGCUUAUGCAUUCUUGAUCCUACAAAAACUGCAAAAAAAAAAAGACUAUGAAAAGGUCAGAGUCCACCAAGAAAUGCAGGUGUUCAGCAGAGCUCUGGAAGCGAAUAGGAGGAGGUCACCAGUGCUAUGGCUGAAGCUUUUCAUGAAUUUCCAUAGAAUCUUAAUGAGUUCUAAAGAACGUUGCUCUUAUUUCUGAAACCGUUCAUUUUGAUCUCUUUUAGAACUAAGAGGCUAGUAACAGAUAACUUAUUUGUACAGAGCCUUGUUUUGAAACAGCACAUUGAAAAAAAAAAAAUGAAACCUCAGUCUGCAGCACCUGACUUGGAUUUCUGAAGAACUCUGUCACCUUCCAUCCACUCUGGUGUGUCUGUGGAG
ensembl:lncRNA